ACUAGUCGGACCAGAUGGCCAUGAAGGCCUGACCUGGGGCUACUCGGCAGUAGUGGAACCCCAGGUGCCCCAGGGCUGAGGCUUUCUCGGGCAACCAGAAGGCUAUCCUUAAUCCCUCUGGGCAAAGUAGCAGCAAAGCCUGGGCGCUCCCUGAGGGAGACUACUCCCUGAGGUUAGACUACUUGGCUAUUUUCUGUUAUCCCUGGCUUUUCCUGGAACACUGUGGCUCACGAUGCAAUGUCAGAUAAGAGCACAAAUAUCAGUGUGGGGCAGCCUGAGCUGAGAAUUCAUUUGGGAGGAUCAACUCUAAGACUGAUGCUUUCACGAAGAUCUCAGGAAUACCCACAAAGAGUGCUUGUCCUCUUGCUCUUGUGUGGGUUCUGUGUCUUACAAACCCACUCUCCUCAUACAUCACCCAUGUGCCUGAGAGACCCACAAAUGCUAAGCUCUACACAUCACCCUAAGGGGCUCCUCAGCAACCAGGACAACCGUGAGGGUCUGAGAGUGUCACUUCAUCUCUGACGAGCACAGAAAGGUGGGUGUUUUCGCUGUUUGUUUCUCCUGUGACCAGCAUUUGCACAGUGGCUCUCCAAGGCUGUUCUGAGAGAUCCCAGGGUACAGGAGCAACUUAAGGAACCCACUUGCUUCCUUCCUUCUGCCACUGAGUUAAAACAAGGAACUUGCCAGUCACCAUUUCUACAUCUUUUAGGCCAUGUGCAUCUAUCUUCAGACUCCUAUCACCCUUCUAGCCCAUCACUGGUCUGUUUGGUUGCUGUUGUCAGGGUAACGGUAGGCUGGCCCUUUGCCUCUAGGGGUAUUAAUGUGAGCCACCAGCAGGAGAUAUGCCAGCAACUGUGGGGCCCACCUGUCUCUCACUCACUGUAGACCAGCUCCAGGCAGCUUGAGCAGCAAAAAACAGGGGCACACUAGCAGGCUGGGGCACAGCAGAGUGUGGGUGUUAUAUUGCCUCUGAACACUGUGUCACUUUAUCCACUGCUUAGGGACUAAUGGCUCAGGAGUAUAAAGAGAAGGUUACAGCCAUGUCCUUGGUAAUCCAUGGACUAUGAUCUGCGUGUUCAGCCCACGUCAGCAGUUUGAUUUCAAGGGUUGAUUUGCGUAUGUCAGUGGAAGACUCAGGGUCUUAUCUAACACAUGAAUUUCCAAAACAAUUUCUAAGGUACUUUUUCAGAAACAUGGCACUGUUAAAAUUAGAAAUUAAUAUAUAACUUC
rnacentral:lncRNA from 1 species